AGGCACGAAAGCGUGGGGAGCAAACAGGAUCAGAUACCCUGGUAGUCCACGCCGUAAACUAUGAGUACUAAGUGUCGGGGUUAAACUCGGUACUGAAGUUAACACAUUAAGUACUCCGCCUGAGUAGUACGUACGCAAGUAUGAAACUUAAAGGAAUUGACGGGAUCCCGCACAAGCGGUGGAUCAUGUUGUUUAAUUCGAAGAUACACGAAAAACCUUACCAGGUCUUGACAUACUCUGCAAAGCUAUAGAAAUAUAGUGGAGGUUAUCAGGGAUACAGGUGGUGCAUGGUUGUCGUCAGCUCGUGUCGAGAGAUGUUAGGUUAAGUUCUAAAACGAGCGCGACCCCUGUCGUUAAUUGCCAGCACGUUAUGGUGGGGACUUUAGCGAGACUGCCAAUGAAAAAUUGGAGGAAGGUGGGGAUUACGUCAAAUCAUCAUGCCCCUUAUGAUCUGGGCUACAAACGUGAUACAAUGGCUGUUACAAG
rnacentral:rRNA from 1 species